CGGUUUUAUGCACGUUUUGCCUGAUUCUUUUGACAUGUUGUCAUCCAAAUGUCUUGAAGAGAACCCGUGGCACAAGUUUCCCUUCACGGGGUUUCUCGCUAUGUUGUCUGGUCUAAUUACUCUAGCCAUCGAUUCCAUGGCUACGAGCCUCUAUACUAGCAAGAACGCAGUUGGGAUCUUGCCACAUGGUCAUGGUCAUGGUCACGGCCCCGCAAAUGAUGACUACGAGCCUCUAUACUAGCAAGAACGCAGUUGGGAUCUUGCCACGUGGUCAUGGUCAUGGUCAUGGCCCCGCAAAUGAUGUUACCUUUCCGACAAAAGAUAAUGAUUCCGAGACUGCACAACUCUUGCGAUAUCGAGUC
rnacentral:lncRNA from 1 species